AGCAUAUAUUGAAUCGAUCUAGCGGCAGAUCUUCCGAUCAUGCAUCCAACAAGAUCUACGGCGUCAUUGCUGAGACUCAUCAGCAUGAAUACAUCUUCCGUCGACCUUCAGUUCAUCCAGAAGUACAGCCCAAUAGGCAACCAGCUGAUUGUUUCUUCCACGUCACAAUACGUCCGCGACGGUGUCGAUCGGUGUUGUGUUUUGAUGGGAAUUUGGUUCACAAUUAAAUCUAUAGGCCGAAGAUAUAAGAAACAUUGAGAAGUGAAUAUGGCAGCUGGGCGACUCGACGACGACGACGGGAUGCGACCUAUGGCUGCUCGACGGCAACGGCGACAUGUGGCAUGCUGUCACUCAAUGAUGACCAAGAUGCGGCCAAAAAUGACAGACGAUGAUGGAUGAUGUGCUCUCAUCUCAAUUAAUUAGUGCAGUGGACUGGUGUUCAUGGGUGCAACGCCAAGUCCACGGGCAACCCCAUGUGUGUUGUUAUACAUGAUCAAAUGAUAUUUUGCUUCAGAAAACCAAAUCAUUAGGAUUUGUUUUUUGGACGUAAAGAUUAGUUGGAAUAAUAGCAUGGGAUGUAGCCUUUC